GUGGUUUUCUGUGUGUGCUGUUUUGUUAAGUUUUGAAACCAGUGAAGGCAAUGCCCAGCCUGGAAGCCGUAUUUUUGUUAAGAACCAACGCAACUUGAAAAUUCAUAAGUGGGAGAUGAACAUUAGCGUGGCCCCGGAUCCGCAACUGCCUUUGUGUCCAAUCCAGAAGAAACUGGAGGGAAAAAAAGGACGAAAGAAAGCAGUUCAUGGACAUAGAAAAGGUAUCCAAGAAACAGGAGAAUGAGCAAUAUGCUGAAGCUUGUGAGUGAGAAAGGAGUGAGAAUGACAGCAGCUGGAUGAAGCAAGAAGGUGGGAGGAAAUAAAACUGAGAGACUCGAGCAUGAAAAAAGGUAUCAUCAGCAACAACUGCAGAUAUAUGAACAAAUGAGAAGAAAGAGAGCAUGAACUUCGUUUGUUCCAGUUAUUUGGGCAGAUGCUUUUUAACUCCCAAGGCAUGAGUACCCUGGUUCAAGCACCACAAUUUCUUCCCCUAGUUUUCCUUCUAGCCAUCAACGUUUUUCCCAAUCUCCAGCACGAACCUCGGGAGCUGCUACUCCGCCUCACGUGGAUGUAUAAUGGGACACGCUGACAUAUCCGAAAUCACCAACAUAUC